CAGUAGCCGCGGGAAUACGAAGGGGGCUAGCGUUACUCGGAAUUACUGGGCGUAAAGGGCGCGUAGGCGGCACGAUUAGUCAGGCGUGAAAUUCCUGGGCUCAACCUGGGGACUGCGCUUGAUACGGCCGAGCUAGAGGAAGGAAGAGGGUCGUGGAAUUCCCAGUGUAGAGGUGAAAUUCGUAGAUAUUGGGAAGAACACCGGUGGCGAAGGCGGCGACCUGGUCCAUCACUGACGCUCAUGCACGAAAGCGUGGGGAGCAAGCAGGAUUAGAUACCCCUGUAGUCCCUGUCUCUUAUAC
rnacentral:rRNA from 1 species